GCCAGUAUCCUCGUCUCACCCAGAACCCACCAAUCGCAGCGCUCCUCUGUAUUCCCCUCCAGAUGCACCCCUACAAAACCACGGAAAUCCAUAAUUUUUCACAACACAGAGGAAGAGCACACAGACACAGACAAGCAGUAGACCACGCGCCCACAGCCUCAGCCUCAGGUCUCCCUUCGCGCACCGCAGCCACCACCAAGUGCAACCAAUCCCCCGACAAAACCCCAUCCACUCCUUUAUCAGCGUUUCCCUCCCUUUCCUCCGCUCCCCUCCAUCCAUCCUCAGCCGCCUCUUCGCCGGCCGGCCAGCCAGCCAUGGCAAAUGCUUCCCUCCAGUCCUUCCUCCCCCAGCACCACCAUUCUUUCCUCAGCAGCGCCACCCACGACGGCUCCCCUCCCGCGCUCCUCAAGCUCACCACCACCACCGCCAGCAACAGCAUUUCAUUCAAGCUCUUCGCCAGCGGCUCCUCCUCGGUGACCACAACCGCCAACUCGCCGGCCCCGACUCCGGCGGCGACAACCUCGCCGCCCACCCCCUCGCUGGAGCUCCUGGGCCAGCAGCUGGCGGCGGGGGACUACCGGCAGGCCGACGAGACCACCCGGGCCCUCCUCAUCGUCCUCGCCGGCGAGGCCGCGCGCCGCCGAGGGUACGUCUUCUUCUCGGAGGUCCAGUUCAUCUCCGUGGAGGACCUGCGCGCCGUGGACGCGCUCUGGCUGGAGCACAGCGGCGGCAGGUUCGGGUACAGCGUGCAGCGCCGGGUUUGGGAGAAAUCGCUGCGCGAGUUCACCCGCUUCUUCAUCAGGAUCGGGUGGAUGAAGAAGCUGGACACCGAGGUGGAGCAGUUCAACUACAGGGCCUUCCCGGACGAGUUCAUCUGGGAGCUCACCGACGACACGCCGGAGGGCCACCUGCCCCUCACCAACGCCCUCAGGGGCACGCGACUCCUGGAGAACAUCUUCACCCACCCCGCCUUCGACUGCGAGGAAGAGGAGGCAGCUGCAGCAGAUGAGGAGGCUGGCACGGGCAGUGCCACUGGUCAGAAUAACAAGGAUGACAAGAAAAGCAGGGGGAGGUCAAAGAGUUUGACAGAUUUCAAGCCCGACUACUCCUUUUAAGGAGCGUGCAAGUUUGUGAUGAUGCUGUCAAUGGGGCAGCUGAUUUUAAAAAAAGUCAUGUUUCUGUAGUUCGUUUUGGUUGUUUCUGUACUGAACAUGCAUGGAAAUUUGUGACCAUAUAUAUUAUAAAGAUAAGUGUUUGAGAAGCUGCUUGUUCUGGACAAGGAUGAUUGCAUCUGGACAUGCAAAAGAUGAACUGCAUGCGCAGGACAAAGCGAAAAUAUGUUCUUAUGCGAUACGCCAUUUGGAAACUCGGUGCAGAAAUGGCCAUGCCAUUUUGAGCCGUCAGCUUUCGGCGGAUUACCUCCGCUUGUUUCCUGGCAAGUGA
rnacentral:rRNA from 1 species